AGAGUUUGAUCCUGGCUCAGAACGAACGCUGGCGGCGUGCCUAACACAUGCAAGUCGUACGAGAAAAUCCGCUUCGGCGGGUGAGUAGAGUGGCGCACGGGUGAGUAACGCGUGGAUAAUCUGCCUUUAAGCUGGGAAUAACUCACCGAAAGGUGGGCUAAUACCCGAUAAUGCUACGGGACUUCGGUUUUAUAGCCAAAGAGAGCCUCUACAUGUAAGCCUUCACUUAAAGAUGAGUCCGCGUACCAUUAGCUAGUUGGUAGGGUAAUGGCCUACCAAGGCGACGAUGGUUAGCUGGUCUGAGAGGAUGAUCAGCCACACUGGAACUGAGACACGGUCCAGACUCCUACGGGAGGCAGCAGUGAGGAAUAUUGCGCAAUGGGGGCAACCCUGACGCAGCAACGCCGCGUGAGUGAGGAAGGUCUUCGGAUCGUAAAGCUCUGUCGGGUGGGAAGAAGUGUGCAUAGGUUAAUAGCUUGUGCACUUGACGGUACCGCCAAAGGAAGCACCGGCUAACUCCGUGCCAGCAGCCGCGGUAAUACGGGGGGUGCGAGCGUUGUUCGGAAUCAUUGGGCGUAAAGAGCGUGUAGGCGGCUAGGCAAGUCAGAUGUGAAAUCCCUGGGCUUAACCCAGGAAGUGCAUUUGAAACUGCUUAGCUUGAGUAAGGAAGAGGGAAGUGGAAUUCCUGGUGUAGAGGUGAAAUUCGUAGAUAUCAGGAGGAACACCGGUGGCGAAGGCGACUUCCUGGUCCUAUACUGACGCUGAGACGCGAGAGCGUGGGGAGCAAACAGGAUUAGAUACCCUGGUAGUCCACGCCCUAAACGAUG
rnacentral:rRNA from 1 species